rnacentral:rRNA from 1 species
AGCGAACGCUAGCGUCAGGCCUAACACAUGCAAGUCGAAGGGACCCUUCGGGGUUAGUGGCGGACGGGUGAGUAACACGUGGGAACGUGCCUUUAGGUUCGGAAUAGCUCCUGGAAACGGGUGGUAAUGCCGAAUGUGCCAUUCGGGGGAAAGAUUUAUAGCCAUUUAGAGCGGCCCGCGUCUGAUUAGCUAGUUGGUGAGGUAAUGGCUCACCAAGGCGACGAUUAGUAGCUGGUCUGAGAGGCUGACCAGCCACAUUGGGACUGAGACACGGCCCAAGCUGCUACGGGAGGCAGCAGUGGGGAGUCUUGCGCAAUGGGCGAAAGCCUGAGGCAGCCGUGCCGCGUGAAUGAUGAAGGUUUUAGGAUUGUAAAAUUCUUUCACCGGGGACGAGAACGACGGUACCCGAAGAAUAAGCCCCGGCUAACUUCGUGCCAGCAGCCGCCGUAACAC